GCUGCUAUAGCGUAAGUGAGCUCAGGAACUAUUGUUUCGGGAACAUUAAAUGCAACCACAAAAGGAUAAAAAGACGGUUUCUGCAGGUUCUUCAGCAGCACCGAUCAUGUCAGUUACGAUUCGUCCAUGAAGACGGCGCUGUUCGCGGCAGCGGGAGUCGGCUUGGCUGGACUGACCUUCCUCCUAGUGCGCUGAGCCACACGUCCCAGUGUCCUCCUCAUUCUCGCCGCCACUUUGUUUUAAACUCGGAGGGAAAAGCUUGAGUUCUCAGACGAACUAUUUCUUACACCUUCAUGCAUCUUAAUUAUGGUUUAGAGAUCAUUAAAAAUCACUCCUGAAAUUCACUCAGAACUGUUCAGAAAUGUGUUUUUGGGUUUUUUCUUCACGUGUCACUCUGGGAUGUUUUUAUUUUUAUAAAAUUUCUCCGGGGUGUGACGUGUUCCUCUCGGUUAGGUUGGAUAGCAUUUAAUAUUUUUUUAACUUGCGUUCAGAAAGUUUGGCGAGCAAAGCAGCUAACGCCCCAUCUUAUUUCUCUGAAAGCGCGUCCAUUCGUUUACAUAUCGUUUCGUGUCUUGUCUUUUUGUUUCCUGGGAGGCGACGUUUACGAGUCCCUCCUGCAGGAGCAGAAAUGUUAUUUCGGAAGGUGCUAGGUUGUUCUGUAAGCCUUUAUCAUGUGAUGUGGUUUUUUUUUUGGUUUUUUUUUUCUUUUUUUUCCCCAAUUUAAAACCAAUUUCACUUGUAAAUUUGUAUUUAUUUUACCAUCUGAAGAACAAAUUGUAACUAUUUAGGCAUUUUCCCGACCUUGACAAAAUUGUAUUUUUGCAUUAUUUUAUUUAUUUAACACUUUCUUAAUAAAAGUCAUUACCAUAAACGGAUUUGUUUUGUGCGCUGCUUUAGGGAUGACUCGUACGCAGGGACUCGGCGGAAACAUUUCGUGACCUUUUUAGUUUCUAACCUGAAUUUUUGUGAAGGGGAAAAUCAGCUGAGUCCAAAACCACAAGCGUUCAAAAUGAAACUGCCUUUUACAUCACUUCCUGAAAUAAACAAUGAAAGUGUCGGGGUUUUUAAGGGGGGGGGGUAUUUAUAAAAUUCACCGGAAAUAUUUGAAGAAAAAUUUUGAUAAAUAUUCCUUCACGUCUUUAUACAGUGUUUUGUUUUCUUAAUUAAAGGGAAUACCUCAUGAGCUUCUUAAAUAAGCUGGACAAGAAAGAUAUCGGUUAAAGGC
ensembl:lncRNA